rnacentral:rRNA from 1 species
UACAGAGGUCCCAAGCGUUGUUCGGAUUCACUGGGCGUAAAGGGUGCGUAGGCGGCGAGGUAAGUCGGAUGUGAAAGCUCGGAGCUCAACUCCGAAAUGGCAUUGGAAACUACCUUGCUCGAGGGUUGGAAGGGGGACUGGAAUGCUUGGUGUAGCAGUGAAAUGCGUAGAUAUCAAGCGGAACACCAGUGGCGAAGGCGAGUCCCUGGACAACUACUGACACUGAGGCACGAAAGCUAGGGGAGCAAACAGG